UUCCCAGAAAUAUUUUGCUUGGAGGGCAUAACAAAAGAGAUGGCAGCUUGCAAAAAAUCAAAGUUUCACUCCUCCAGCAUCAAGUGAAGUUGCUAAUCAUCGAUAGCAUGGCUGCCCUUGUUUCCGGGGAAUACGGACAAGGACCUCAAAGGCAACAUCCAUUGGGUUGGCAUAUAUCAUUUUUACAGUGAGACUUAAGUUCCUUGCUGAAUUUUCAUGAAUACCUAGUGGUGAUGACAAACCAAGUUAGAUCUCGAAUCACUAAUCAAAUCUCUCAGUAUUCUUUCCAAGAUAAUAGGCCGGCUACCGUGGACAGUACUGGAAACAUUGAUUCUCAUC